rnacentral:rRNA from 1 species
UGGGGAAUUUUGGACAAUGGGCGAAAGCCUGAUCCAGCAAUGCCGCGUGUGUGAAGAAGGCCUUCGGGUUGUAAAGCACUUUUGUCCGGAAAGAAAUCCUUGGCUCUAAUACAGUCGGGGGAUGACGGUACCGGAAGAAUAAGCACCGGCUAACUACGUGCCAGCAGCCGCGGUAAUACGUAGGGUGCAAGCGUUAAUCGUAAUUACUGGGCGUAAAGCGUGCGCAGGCGGUUUGCUAAGACCGAUGUGAAAUCCCCGGGCUCAACCUGGGAACUGCAUUGGUGACUGGCAGGCUAGAGUAUGGCAGAGGGGGGUAGAAUUCCACGUGUAGCAGUGAAAUGCGUAGAGAUGUGGAGGAAUACCGAUGGCGAAGGCAGCCCCCUGGGCCAAUAUGACGCUCAUGCACGAAAGCGUGGGGAGCAAAACAGGAUUAGAUACCCUGGUAGUCCACGCCCUAAACGAUGUCAACUAGUUGUUGGGGAUUCAUUUUCCUUAGUAACGUAGCUAACGCGUGAAGUUGACCGCCUGGGGAGUACGGUCGCAAGAUUAAAACUCAAA